AAUUUGAAAUCUGGCGGUCUCAGGCCGUCCGAGUUGUAAUCUAGAGAGGUGUUUUCCGUGCCGGACCGUGUACAAGUCCCUUGGAACAGGGCGUCAUAGAGGGUGAGAAUCCCGUCCAUGACACGGACUCCCGGUGCUCUGUGAUACACCUUCAAAGAGUCGAGUUGUUUGGGAAUGCAGCUCAAAAUGGGUGGUAAAUUCCAUCUAAAGCUAAAUACAGGCGAGAGACCGAUAGCGAACAAGUACCGUGAGGGAAAGAUGAAAAGAACUUUGGAAAGAGAGUUAAACAGUACGUGAAAUUGUUGAAAGGGAAACGCUUGAAGUCAGUCGCGUCUGCCGGGACUCAGCCUUGCUUUUGCUUGGUGCACUUCUCGGUGGAUGGGCCAGCAUCGAUUUUGAUCGCCGGAAAAGGGUGGGAGGAAUGUGGCAGCUUGCUGUGUUAUAGCCUCCUAUCGUACACGGUGGUUGGGAUCGAGGAUUGCAGCACGCCUUUGGUCGGGGUUCGCCCACGCCACGUGCUUAGGAUGCUGGCGUAAUGGCUUUAAACGACCCGUCUUGAAACACGGACCAAGGAGUCUAACAUGCCUGCGAGUGUUUGGGUGUUAAACCCAGGCGCGUAAUGAAAGUGAUAAGUUGGGACUCUUCGCUGAGGCACCGACGCCCGAUCCUGAAGUUUACGGACGGAUUUGAGGUAGAGCAUGUAUGUUGGGACCCGAAAGAUGGUGAACUAUGCCUGAAUAGGG
rnacentral:rRNA from 1 species